GUAUUGUAUUGCGUUAAACGCGACAUACAUUCCAUAGGACUUUAUUACAGUGUGUGUGUAAAUAUGUAGAACCACAGCAAGAGGACAGAGUCCCCCAUGCUAUAGAACUACAGAGGGUGCACAGGUGUGAGUGGAUGUGUGAACAGAGCGUGCACAUGCCCCCAUGUUUGAGGACCAGCAACAGCUCAUGUUGACAACUCAGUAAUGAUCCUUCCGCAGGUUCACCUACGGAAA
rnacentral:misc_RNA from 1 species